rnacentral:rRNA from 2 species
GAAACACCUGCAGUCGAGAUUCCUACGGGAGGCAGCAGUGGGGAAUCUUAGACAAUGGGCGCAAGCCUGAUCUAGCCAUGCUGCGUGAGUGAUGAAGGCCCUAGGGUCGUAAAGCUCUUUCGCCAGAGAUGAUAAUGACAGUAUCUGGUAAAGAAACCCCGGCUAACUCCGUGCCAGCAGCCGCGGUAAUACGGAGGGGGUUAGCGUUGUUCGGAAUUACUGGGCGUAAAGCGCGCGUAGGCGGACUAUUAAGUUAGAGGUGAAAUCCCAGGGCUCAACCCUGGAACUGCCUUUAAUACUGGUAGUCUUGAGUUCGAGAGAGGUGAGUGGAAUUCCAAGUGUAGAGGUGAAAUUCGUAGAUAUUUGGAGGAACACCAGUGGCGAAGGCGGCUCACUGGCUCGAUACUGACGCUGAGGUGCGAAAGUGUGGGGAGCAAACAGGAUUAGAUACCCUGGUAGUCCACACCGUAAACGAUGAAUGCCAGUCGUCGGGUAGCAUGCUGCUCGGUGACACACCUAACGGAUUAAGCAUUCCGCCAGGGGAGUACGGUCGCAAGAUUAAAACUCAAAUGAAUUGACGG